GCCAGACUCCUACGGGAGGCAGCAGUGAGGAAUAUUGGUCAAUGGGCGCAGGCCUGAACCAGCCAAGUCGCGUGAGGGAAGACUGCCCUAUGGGUUGUAAACCUCUUUUAUAAGGGAAGAAUAAUGACUACGUGUAGUCAGAUGCCCGUACCUUAUGAAUAAGCAUCGGCUAACUCCGUGCCAGCAGCCGCGGUAAUACGGAGGAUGCGAGCGUUAUCCGGAUUUAUUGGGUUUAAAGGGUGCGUAGGCGGAAUAUCAAGUCAGCGGUAAAAAUUCGGGGCUCAACCCCGUCGUGCCGUUGAAACUGAUGUUCAUGAGUGGGCGAGAAGUAUGCGGAAUGCGUGGUGUAGCGGUGAAAUGCAUAGAUAUCACGCAGAACUCCGAUUGCGAAGGCAGCAUACCGGCGCCCAACUGACGCUGAAGCACGAAAGCGUGGGUAUCGAACAGGAUUAGAUACCCUUGUA
rnacentral:rRNA from 1 species